CGAGACUAUGAGGCAUGGGACCACACAUUAAAAGUUAGUAGAUGAGGGUUCAGUGUUUCUUUUGAUGCCAGAGUUAUCUGCAGAUUUCACAGAGAAACAUCUCUAAAUUAGAAAAGUAUUAUUGAAAUUCCUCUCUCGCUCAGACAUUCCAAUGAGCCCGGCUGGAAAACUGACAGCCAAUUAGCGUUUGCCACACCUGCAGUGCUUCCUGUUCUGACCCACCCAUUACUCGCUAAUACGUUUCACCUAACACAGAACGUCCAGUAUCUGGCAUUUUGUGGACGAUUUUUGUAAAAAAUAAUUUCAAACAAACAAAACAAAAAUAGCAUGAUGUAAAAUGUUCAAACCUGUACGCUUGAGCCCAAAUUCACACAUCCAAUACUUGACGUGUUAUAGAGGGAUCGUGGCACUAACGACUGUCAUGAUCCUGCCGCUCCAGCCCGGGCUGUGCGGGUGCCCGCGCGUUUGCGCCGAUUGGGGGGCGGGCUGAUUAUCCUGUGUAUUUAUAUGACCCUAAUGACGACUGGUUGGCGCCAGAUCGUUGAGCUUCAUGUCCCGUUUGAGUACUCCCGUAUCCCUGAUCGACAACCCGUGUGUACCGACCUUCGCCUGUUCUCCCACCAACCCCGUAAGCAUGACUUCUUUGACACUUCUGCCUACUUUGAUCGUUCUCCCUUGUACCGACUCAUGCCUGCCCGCUCACCUGCUCUCUUCGCCCGACGUCCCAACUACCGCUGCUGCACCUGACUGCCUGCCCGAUCCCCGACCACGAAAUAAUAAACGUUUCUCCCCAAACUACCUUGCAUCGUCCGAGUCCUGCAUUUGGGUCCUACUCCCGUUCCGAUGGGUUGUGACAACGACGAACAAUAACAGUCCCAUUCUAUGGUCCGUGGAGAUUUGAUGGUUUUGUGAGUUGAUUUCAAUGUAGAGAUUAUACAAGUCGGUGUGGCCAGACUUAUUUUUUCCUUCCCCAAAUUGUACUUUUGAAGCACUCCGUUUCUCGCGUUCGUCCAGCGACAGGGAUUGGUGUGUGUGUGUGUGUGUGUGUUGGGGGAUGGGGGUUUAAUGCUUGCAUCGCCGUAAGUAGUAAACGGGAAGUGUUGUGUGCUUACACGUAUAUAUCCAACCAUCCAUUUUCUUAGCCACACGAUAGUUGCAGGAAUGCUGGAGCCUAUCCCAGCUGUCAACGGGCAGGAGGCAAGUUUACCCACACGCAGACACGGGGAGAACAUGCAAACUCAACACACGGAUGUCCGGGAUUGAACAGCUGUGCCUCAUGACGUAUGUUGUUGCUUUACCGUACCAGCACGAGAGGCUAGCGGCCAAUAACCAGUAAUGAUUAAAUGCGUGCAAAUUUCCCCGCUGAUAAAUGAGCCUCAACUGUGACAGCCACAGCUUUAUCCUGUCAGAUUGACCCUAUGGGAUGUUAAAGAAGGACUAAUUUGGGUGUGUUUUCUCACUUUUGGUGUAGAACAAGUCGGCAUCUUGGCUUAGCUAGAAGGAAUGGUCUGUAAUGCUAAGCACCGGAGACAUCAGGGGCGGAGUUAAGGAUGUUUCUUCCGCGUUUGGCUCUGAAAGCUGGCACAUAUACUGAUUUUGCUUGGAUUUCAAACAUGUUCUUUAUUUUCAAUUAAUGUCCAAAAUAUAUGUAAUAAUAUUAUUACUUCACAUUGGAGGGUUUAUCGUACAUGUGAAUUUUGGGGAGAGUCUUCCUUUAAGCAAGACUGGGAUAGUAUUCUACCUUCAAAGAUUCAAAAAAUGGUUUGCUCUCAGUUCCCAAACUCUUAUUGAUUGUUAUUGUAAUUGUUCACUGUGAGCCUUCCCAGUUAAAAUAGAUAUUUGACUUCUAUUCUAUCUAUUCUAUAUUUGCUUUUGUUCAAGAGGAGAGCCAAUUCAGAUCUGCUCAAUGCAGCAAUGUUUGUCCAAAAGCAGUUGGACAGAUAUGGCAUGUUCCAUGGAUACAAGAUGAUGCAUUUAAAAUGCAUUCAUGCUGGCUACGUGGUGACUCAAAAGACUGUCAGGAGACUGAUGAAAAUACUGGACCCGUAUGGUGUCCAACUGAGGCAUUGGAAUCAGCUUCGCGCGGCAUAUGCACGAGAAUCCCUUGCCUGAACUUUUUGUGGAAUAUAGACUCUUAUGACAAACUUAAACCAUAUGGGAUCAGCAUCAGUUGUGCAAUAGAGGGUUUUUUCACACAUGAUGAUAUGGCUACAUGCUUACUCAACAAGCAGUGAUCCCAAGACAAUUGCUGGAUACUUCAUUAAUGAGGUCAAUUAAUGGGACUUCUGUCCAAAUUUGUUCAGACUUUUGCACCGAGAACUGUUUCAUUGAGCAAAUGCAGAGGUUCUUGACCCGGGACAGGACCACUUUUUGCACAGAUGUUAUCUGUAUGGAUUGAGCAAUCACAACCAUGAAAUAGAUGAGUGGUGGGGGUUUUUAAGGAGGGAACAUGCACAGUUUUGGAUGAACUUUUUUCCAAGAUUUUAAAGACUCAUACUUAUCUGGUGACUUCCUGGACUAAAGUAACCUCAGUUCAUGUCUUGAAUUAAAGGAGGUAAGGACUGCAACCCCCUACUCCUAAUUUUCUACCUAUUUCCACGUUGCACUUCACAAAAGGAAGUAGAAUACCACCUAGUGUGUUAGUUUUGGUGUGGUACGAAUACUUAGACAUGAGUGUCAAGAGCUCACUCUAAGCUAUAUUCUAAACCUUAUGCUGACUGUAUUGUCAUCAUAAUAUAAGUACUUAAAUGAAAAUUGUAAAAGGAAUAAAGUGCAUCUUGAUGUUUUAAUUAAUAGUUAAGUCUAGUAUUGGGCAGAUGUUUAAACUGGUGCUGAUUUGUACUACAUAUUGGCGAGUGAAGUGUAACAUAUGUACUCCAGUUGGUUUAUGAAAUGUGCGAGCUGAUUUCAUCACUAUUUUUAUUGAGAGAGAACUGCAGGAAGUUCUUGCUGCAUCUCCAGGUGGGCACCCAGUGAUGGUGUACAUCUUACCUGAACCUUUUGGAGAGAGAGUACUUGAAAAAGGUAUCUCAAGCAAAGAAUAGAUGUCUGUUGUCAGGUUCAGCAAUCAUUCAUUCAUUAAACAGGACAAAAAAGGAAGCAAAGACACCAGUUCAAGUCUCACGAGGAGAGAGGAGAGGAACUGUCUCGUACAAUUCACCACUGCACUCUCUGAUUAUCCUCUCCUCAGCACUUCUAUUUAUUUAGUUUUAAGACGCCCCUUAUUUACAUGAAUGUUACAAAAAGGAGACGACAAGCAAAACAGUUUGAAACAAGGUGUACAUGUUUGUUCAUGUACGUGUGCAUGUGUGGAGGAUUGCUGAGUACAUGUGUGGUCAUCAUUUCUUUAACAGGCAGCAGUUCUAACAGUUCUGAUGAUUAGAUGUUUUUGUUCUUGCUAUCUCCUGCUAGGAGGCUGCCAUGUUAUCUAGAACAGAGCAAAGCAUUUCUUUAUUGGAAGGAGAUGUAUGAUAAUUAUGAUCACAAUUAUUCCUACAUCUGUCGAGGGGCAUGCCAUCAGAGGGGACUGUGCCCCUGUGAUGAUAGUGUUUGACAUCUGUUGUCUUGCCCUGGCAGAAAACAGUCUUCAUUCACCCACCUCACCAGAAGAAGCCAUUGAGCUUUACGUUCUUGCAUGAUUACGUACGAAUACAGAUAUGAUCACAACCUGCUCUACAGCAUCAAAUGACAGAAUCAUGUAACCCUCCAAAAAUGGUCAAGCUUAGUAGUGAAUUUACUCCAAAUGGAUAACUCCACAUUGUACCUCGUAUAUCUUCUUUCUGUUCCAGAAAAGUGAACUAUCAACGUGUGCAUAAAAAAAAUGUGAAAUCUUGGUUGGAUUGUUUAUCAUUUAGAAUCAAAACUUUGUAAUAUGGUGUGUCUGGUGGUAUAUAAUGAUAAUGAUUGUAAUACUAUGUAUGUUUAAUGUCAAAUUCUGUCCACAAGGUAGUGUAUACAUCUCUAAAGACACCGUCAACAUCUGGCCGCAUUUCAGAAUCAGCUUUAUUGCCUAAGUGUGAAAGGAUCCUACCUGGUCUGGACCUAGCUCGCGUUGCGUGCAAAUCCUCAAUAUUGGGUAGGCUGGUACCGACAAGCUGUUCAGCGGAUUGUAAAUAAUAAACAUUAAAGCUAUAUUUCACAGACUUUGUAAUCACUGAUUCAUCUUUGAGUUGGGCAAUCAAUUCACUUAAGAUUUAUUCAGUGAAGUUUAACAUUCACAUGAAAAAGUUCAAAGGCCGGAUUUGGUGGUCUAUCAAAUGCUGUCUCAGCAUCAGUAGGAGUUGAGGUGUGAAUGGGGAUGUUUAGUUCCUCUUCUAUUGCAACAUUUGGCUCAUGUUUGGGUAUAUCAUCAAGAUUGCCUAAAAAUUCACCAAAACUCACCUCUGAUGUAUAACACAAAGAUGUAAGAUCAAUAAUUUGAACAGCUGCAAUGCUCAGCUUAUCAGAUUCUAUCGUGUGUAUCUUAUUUUAGCUGCUACGUCUUUUCCUGUCAGCUGCUCCACCUUUUCUAUUGUUUUUGUUUUGUUCUACAUUCUGUUGAGUUUUCAUGUUGUUCAUCUGUUGGUAUGUCAGCUCCUUUCUCUAGGUCAUCUCCACCAGUAAGGGUCUUUGUGAACAGAUAAAAUCUUAGUAAAUUUGUGAGAGUUAUAAUACUCCUGCACACUUACGUCCUCAUCAACUUCUUGUUCCUGAAAGUUAAGGGUGUCACGACUGAACUCUUCCCAUUUUCCCAUUGUUGACUUCCCAUUUGGGAAAAACAGUUUUACUUGAGAUGGGAUCUCAGUAUUAGUGGCAUUCUUGUUAAUAUCCAUAACUCUCGUUCCUCCACCACUACGUAUUCUGAUUUUCUUGUCAUGUGUGCACCCUAAUUCUCUUUUUCUGGUUGUCUUCCAGGUUUGCACAUUUUUUUGGAGCAUCUAUCAGCACCUGAGUCUAGCCAAUGCUGUACACCCGAAGUCUUUUUCAAAGAGCAUCAUCUUGGAGGAGGCGAGGGAUUAAGGAUGUAGCCCUACUGUGAAGCAAGGGGGUGGUAGCAUCAUGCUUUCGGGGUGUUUGUCUGCACGUAGGACAGGACGACUGCACUGUAAUAAGGAGAGGAUGACCGAGGCCAUGUAUUUUGAGAUUUUGGGGAACAACCGCUUUCCCUGAGUCAGAGCAUUGAAGAUGGGUUGUGGCUGGGUCUUUUAACAUGAAGCACGAAGCACACAGCUAGGAAAACCAAGGAAUGGCUCCGUAAGAAGCAUAUCAAGGUUCUCGCAUGCCCUACCCAGUCUCCAGACGUAAACCCAAUAGAAAAUCUUUGGAGGGAGCUGAAACACCGUGUUUCUCAGCGACAGCCCAGAAACCUGUUUGAUCAAGAGAAGAUCUGUGUGGAGGAGUGGGCCAAAAUCCCUCCUGCGGUGUGUGUGCAAACCUGGUGAAUAACUACAGGCAAUGUUUGACCUCUGUAAUUGCAUAAAAAGGCUACUGUACCAAAUAUUAA